GCAGCAUCAUUUCGAUGUUGUAGGGUCCCAGGAUAAACCAUUUGUGGUGAUCGAUCCCUAAUAUGCAGAGUGGAAUGAAAAUUAUUUUUUGAAACAAACUCAUCCAAGAACGCCUGGAGGUAAUCUAUGAUAUCUUUUGUCCACUGCUCUGAUCGCGAAAACUGCGUUUUGUCAGGCACACCACCAGACAAAUUGGAAGAGCCAGGCCGUACCUGCAAGGUGAAACCAUAAUCUGCUAAGUUCAACAGUAUAUAAUAAAAAAAUAAUAAUUCCAUAACAAUAUUGCAUGGAGGGAUACUCAAUACCUGAUUAAGAUAAGUCACUUUCACAAACCAAGUAGCUCUGAGUAGUGGAACAUUAUUCCUAAUGAGAACUUCAAGAAGAGAUUUCCUCCGGUAACCAUGAGGAACAUGAUCAGCCAAAGAACACAAUCUUUUAUGCGGUUGAGAUAAUCCCUGGGAAAAUGUUCAAAUAAUGAGCUAGCAGACACUAGGGUUACAAAAGAAAAGAGCUUUAACACAAGAGACUCAUGCAUCUGCAUAGGAUAUACAGUUGCUCAAGUUAGAGUUUUAACCUCAAAAACAUGCCAAUGAAUAGCGUAUUUUGUUUACUAGUCAAGUAAAUCCCCUCCCCUGCUGUAUAACCCUACAGGUCACCCCAAAGCUUCAUUAUGCAUUUCAUCUUCUCCAUAGGGAAUGAAAUAUGGAGGAAGCAUUUAACAGUGGCAACAGAUGUAUCAAAGCAGGUCCCCAGGACCGUUCAAUUAUGGACCUAAGUACACUAGAAAGGCCCAAACAUGGCUUUUGGACACAAGACUCUACAUAUCCUUUACAGUCAGUUUCAAUGUUGCCCUUGCAAAUGCAUAUCCAAUUUUUCAAUGUAAAAAAUACUACAAUCAUAUAUUUUCCAAAUGUAUAUCAUAUUUUACUCAUGUAACACUACGUUUUCUUAGUGUGCAUCUGUGUGUUUUAUAGUUUAUAAACAACAUGUCCACCAUCUACUUUUACAACAGACACAGGAGGAUAAUUAAAGACAACAAUGGGAAUGAAUCUUUUGUCACUGUGGUAUCAUCCACACAAGGAACUAACAUUCAACCAAAAUGUUAGUAGCUAAGCUCUUUUCCAAAGUUUUAAAAUUGUCUGUGCCUCCUUCAGUCCUUGAUUGAUUUAUUAAGCUCAUUUUCAAUAAAUUCCCAGUGAUUCUGCUUAUAACAAUGGGAUAGCCAUCAUGAAUUAAAACUUUAAACUUGGAGGGUUUACACCCAAUAUUCUUUUCAUUCAAUAUACAAAAAUUCAGGUUAUUCAAUCCCCUAAAAUAGCAAGCCAAUGAGCAACACUGAUUUUGUGGUACGAGCAUAUACCCUAUAGGAUCUGAGUGACAGGCUUAAAUAGAAGAACUUCCAACAUGUUUCAGGUUUGCAUAGAAUAAAAACACAAGUGUCAGUCCUGUUUACAUCCAUAUAAACAUCUAACAUGCAUAGGUAAUGACUGACAGAAUAAAUUGUUAGAGUAUAAACAAUAUUAAUUCCAGCUAACUAGGACACUGCACAUCAAAUUUAAUUCCAGCUAACUAGCACACUGCACAUCAAAUUUAACAUGCAUAGGGCAUAAAUGUUUGUUCAUAAUCUAUGACAAUUCAGACUCAAAUGAUUGAAAUAUAUCAACAUCAACUAGAAUUACACUUUUAUUAGUUCUAUAGGAGCCAUAUGCACAAUAGUCAUCUUCAACAAUAUUUUCUGUUACUUAUUCUUAAGAAUAAACUCCUACUAACUGUCAUAAACCACAAUGUAAAACUACGAAUGUCUAGAACAUGAUAACACCAAUCCAACACCCAGCUCAUCCUGUAGACUUCAGUACUAAAAGGAAAUAAACACAUUCUCGCACUAGCAUAUGCAAGAAAGCCAUAUCCAUGAACACACAAACCCAGAUGCAGAAAAAUAUUUAGUGGAGACUAACCUCAAUCCAUUUCUUUCGAAACUCUUCACCACAUGGUUUUUGCUCAGGAAAGGCGCCAGGUUUACUUAAAAGUGAACCUGAAAGAGGCACACCAUAAACUUGGCCCGCCUGCAAAAAUAGGAGCAUUUAUCCAUUUUAUGCUUUCAAAAUACUUCAUUACAACAAUCACAACAAUUUCCAUAAUUGUCCAGAUAAGUAACAAGUAGACAGGCUAAACCACCAACAAGUAAACAUUAAUUCAAAAAAGAUAGAGAUGGACAAUUUUCCCACAUUUCAGGAGACAUGCAGGACAGGUUUUUAAUUUAGCCAAGAUCAAUAUAAUCAGCUCAUCCAUCAAAAAGUCGGGAGGAAAAACAGCAUCACCUUUCGUUUUUGUGCACGGGACUCGUUAAUAGCCCUGUGACAUUUUCUUAUUGACUGCAAAAGAGCACAGAAACAAAGAGAGACGGUAUCAGGCAAGCAUUACUUCCAAGUCUAAUGAAUACCAAGCCUACAAAUGUGUAGCUCGUUGAAAAUAAAAGGGGAGACCGGUGACACCAUUAAACACAGAACAAUUACCUCCUUGCACUUGAGGAUGACUGGCUUUGUAAAAGCCUGAAUUUGUGAUAAUGAAGUCUCUCUAUUUUCCUGGAAACAUUAGUGAAGACAUAUCCCUACUGAGGUACCAACUCCAAUAAAAGAAAAAAUAAAGAUUGCAAUAAUCAUAUCCAUACAACCAUAAAAUUCUAAAUAGAAGACACCCAAAAAGUUACCUCAAUCCCUUCAACCGUCUCCCUGUAACCAGACUGCACAUAGUCCCUGGUCAACGUCUCCUCAGGACAAGUAGGAGUCUGGAGGUGAAAGUCAGGCGGCCCAAGCCUGUCAAAUGGUACCCAAUUAAUAAAUUAACACUGGUUGUCAUUGAUGAUGAUGGUACAUAUAGAAACAAUCUCAGAUGAAAGGACAAAAGAUCUACAAUGGGCAAUCAUAAUUUCAACAGAAAUUACCUGGAAUUCAAUGGUUCUUUAUCACACCUCAGUUUAUAUGGAGUUAAAGGUAACGGUCGCCUGAAGGAGCAAUAUUAAAAUCACUAAGCAUGUCAGCGGUAUUUUAAUUGGAAAAACUAACCCAUUUAUCUCUUAGGAGCAAAAUAAAUAGGGGAAACUAAAAACCCUAAUUCAGUUACAGUAUAAUUGAAAUAGCAGAAUGAAGCUAAACAAUUAGAGAAUAAAAUAUAUUAUCUUGAAAUCUGUUUUAACAUUGAGAGAGAUGGGUUCUCUAGAUAUGUGCCAAAUGCAACCACUUGAAAAAAGUUAAUCAGACACAUUACCCCAAGUCAAUGACUACAGAAGAGUAAGUCAGCAAGACUAAUCUGGAAAUUAUACAGGAUUUUGCACACUAACAUCCAACUAAAGGCAUUUCCCAUACAAGAAAGCGAGCUGCUAACUUAUAUAGAAAAUUAUUAAUAUGCUAUGACUAUGAAGCCAAUUUCUGCAGAUAUGAAAGAACCAUAGGACAAGAUGCCUCGAGUUAAGAAGACAAAAGAGCAAGGGAGCAAGAUUUUUAAAGAAAUAGUCGUGGACCAAAAUAAUUCCAACUAGAGGCUACUUGCCAUACCCGCAACCAUCAUCAAAAUUUUAUACACUUCUUUUAAAGGAAUCAAAAAGAAAGAAAACAUCACCACGAUAACAGUAACAUGAUUAAGAUAUUUGAACAGCUCAAUCACAAGCAAUAAUGAGUUCCAAAGCACUACAAACUGAAACAUCUUAUCAUCACGUUACCAGCAGACAACAAUGUUGAUUCAUCAGGACUCCGAGAUAACAACGUUGAUUCAUCAGUUCUUUACAAAUCAUACUAGCAAUCUAUUCAAAUCGGUGCAAUUUUAAUUUUAAACCAAGCCUAAAAUUUUUUUAAUUACCCCAUUUAAAAAAAAAGGCUAAGUACAGUAAAUAUCCUUAAACCAGGUGUCUGUGAUAUAAUUAGUUUUCACUGAUGUGACUGCUUCUACCUCUCCUUUACUUAAAUCACCAUACAAUUAAAUAAAGAAAUUUCAAGCACCCUCACAAGAUACAUUUUUCUAAGCGAAACCCUUUCCUUUUGUUUCUCAUCCCUCUUGAAACAGAACACUAGACUUUCAUUUCCAUUCUAAGUCAAAACACAACGAGUGAGUAUUACAAUCUUCUCUUUUCCAUUGCUUUCUUUCCAGUAAGUGGAAUUUUGUCCUCUCCUUUCUUUUUUCUUAAACCUAGACAUACCCCAAAGGAAAUCCCAUAAAAUAUGACUACAUUAAAAUUCCAAUUACAGAUUUAACAUGAAUAACCACUGCAACAGCUGGAUACUCAUAAUCGUUUUCACUUUAAUUAAUCCUCCGAAAGUACAUUUUGAUCAGAUCUGAACUAGUGAAUUGAAUACCCAAAGUCAUGCCUCAAAUAGGAUAAAUUAUAGCAUUUCUUAACCAUCCAAGUUAACAUGAACUAUUGAUUCAGAAAUCUUUGGUCGUAAAUAUGUUUCCAGUUCCAGCUUCUCAUUGUUUCCAUCUAAAAAUCACUAAUGCUCAAAAUCAUCCUAACCAGAAGAUGAUAGGAAACCAUUAUUGAUCAAACAGCAACAAAUUCUUUACUGAGAAUGAAAUGAUAAACUGGAUAUCAGAACAUUUGGGCAUAGUAGCAUGCACUACUGCAUGUUGGACAUAACUACAUGAUAAUAUAAUAUGUAAUGAUCCCAAAAGUUUUAAAAGAAAAGAAAAAUUAUCAUUGGUUAAGCUUCUAUAUGCUUUGUGUGUAUCAAGCAUUUGCAAUGAAGCAAGUAUAAACAAGCAUGAAUUGCAUUUAACAUGCUUGAGCAAAAAAUUAAGAGCCCGUUUGGAUUGCUAUUUGUUGGAAUUUUUGUUAAAAAAAUACAUCGUACCUAUUUGAUGCAUGUGAGGUAAAAAGGUGAUUGAAAACUGUGUUCACAAAAAAUGUAAAAAUCUUUCAGGAAAAAAUGGCAAUCCAAACAAGACAUAAGAUUCUUGUACCUAGAAUUCAAAGAAAAGUUUGACGGAAUGGAAGAUGACUCAGCUCGGGAAACAUCCCUAGCAGAUCCUCCAAUGGCAGUGUUAUUGACUGCACUAGUGCAGCUGGCAGCAUGAUACCUUUGCAUGUCUCCCAGCUAUCAUCUGCAUGCUGCCUUCAGCAUUGAACCUCAGCAAGGUUUAUGCUGGUCAAACUGCAAUAAAGAGCAUGAAGGAUAAAAAAAAAUUAUAAACAAUCAUAAUUAUAUUAGCCAUAGAAUUUAGCAUUAAAGAGCAGUUAUAAAUGACACAAAAUGUAUUUUAGGGCACAGAAGUCAGAAGAACAGCCAGACCGAAAAGACGAUUCAACAGAAGUUCCAUCUCAACAAUUUAAACAACAUAGGGUCAAACUUGUCGGUUGUGAUAAGCAUUAGCACUUUAGACAUUAAAAAGUGCAAUACAGAAUUGAUUUUUCUAAGACUGAAGAAUUUGAUUUCCCAUGGUAAGAGGUCAUCAAAGAAAGGAAAAAAGGAAUUGCAAAUAACUGAUUAAGAGAAAAUUAGAGGCUAAGAAAUUGUCAUUAAUUGCUAAGACGGACAUGACAACAAUUUGUAACUACACGACAAUUUAAAAUUAAUGCAAAUUUCUCCAGAACCUUAAAGCCACUAUUCUUCGUUGCAAAAAGCAUGGUAAAGCUUGAACACAAUAUAGGAGGAUAAAUACAACAGUGUUCAAGAUUAAAAGCCGGAUUUGAAACCCUAGAGAACCUCGCACAAGUGACAGAAUAACUUUGGACACUGAGAAUGAUAGGUCAAUCACGCAAUGAAGCUACUCCAAUUAAUCUUUGGGCGUCAUUGACACAUGACACCCAAAGAAAUGUACGAAUUGAUUCUUUACCCACACUCAGAAGUUGAGCGCUUUAACAUUUAAUGACAUUACUACUAUUGUGUCUCAGAGUGAUUUAUUGAUCCUAGCAACUGAGCCACUAUAAAAUUGCAUUGUACCAUCACAAAACGUUCAAGUUUUAAUCACGUAAUGAAUCCAACAAGACCUUUGCAAGAAGUGAGCCCACAACAUUUCAUAACCAUCUAAAACAAAAAAGAACAGCCCCACCCUCGACCCCACCCACGAGGAAGUAGAAAAACUCACGAACCUGACCUUCCUUUAGCAUAAAAAUCAAGGCUUCCUUUCACUUUUAAAGAGAAGACCACAUGGAGUUCCAGCUAACUAGGGCAUACAAAAGUCCUCUACUUAAAAAUCACACAGAUUCAUCAGAUGAGUGAGUGCCAUAGUCCAGCUUUCCACCCUAUAAUAAACUCUUAAACGCACCCAAAACUAGUUAGAAAAACAAAUUCACCCUUCUUCACAGUCAACGUAUCGAAAACUCCAAUGCAGGUCCAAUCGCUUCCACUGGCAAAGCAAAACACACAUUUUUCUAUAAAGACUCUCCAUCUGUUUAGUUGGCACAAAGUUCCAAAACUAAAUCCCAUCUACGGCUAAACAGCUACACUACCACAUAUACUACUGAAAAGCAUUCUGAUCCAAGAAAAUUCAAGAAAAGAAAAAAGACCCAAAAAAAAGAAUUCCGGGCAACCACAGCUGAAAUGUGUAAGAACCAAUCUAAAAACCCCCCCGCCAUCAAAUCAACCACAUUCAAUCUUGCAAAUUUCCAAAUCCCACUGAAUCCAAUUAUACACAACUGCAUAAACUGAAAGGAACAGACGGAAGAGCAGAAAACGUAAGAACAACUUAACCUAAAUUUCUUAGAUUACCUUAGAAAGUACAUUAAGAAAAAAAUAGAAACUACCGAAUAUCUCAAGCGGAAUGGUUGUUUCGAUUGUAAAGUUGAAACGAGCUGAACAAAUUCCAAUCACUAGGGUUCAAGAGGAGGUUUUUCAAGAUUAGGGUUUUCACUAAUUGAAGAAAGAAAGAGAAAGAAACUGGUAGAAUGGGAGAGGAGAGAGAAAAUAAGUAGAAAUUCAAUGGAAAUCAGAAGGCGAUUGGGAGAUUUACUGAAUUAGGAUUGAAAUAUCGAGCGAUGGGCAUGUACAUACAAGUGCCUGUAUCUAUGUAUGAAAAUGUAUAUUUAGCCUAUUUUUUUGACUGUUUGUAUAGGUCGAUGUAUAGAUAGAGAGAGAGAGAGAGAGAGAGAAGGCUCUGGGGGCUGGGGAGUGGGGGUUGAUGGUUUGACUCUUCUUUCCUUGCUGCUUUUGCAGAUGAUGACGAUGAGCGCUAGGGGGAAAAAAAAUUAAAAUACGAAAACAUAAUAGAAAUGGAGAAAACUUCUUUUUCUUUUUGAAUAUAUAUAUAUACUCUUAAUAUUUCUUGAGUUUUUAGCGGGGAACAAGAAGUGGGAAAUUUUUAAUAUUUGGGAUUACCUCAAAAAUUUAAUUAUCUUUGCUAAAUUUGUUAUCAGAAAAAGGCAAAAUGAAGGCAAUAUGAAUACUCAAAAAAAUGAUAUGUAAAUCAAACAAACCAUUUGCUCCUGCUUUAUAUAUAUAUCUACUUUUUUCAAGAAUAAUUUUCCUCGAUUUUUUUUUUUGUUACUAUCUUACUACAACAUAAUUUAAUAAAUUAUUGAGGUAGGUAACUUUUUGAAGUAACUUAUCACUCUGGAUUUUCUCAUGAAUGAAGUUGAUGAAAUUGGCCUUUUUGCUUGAGGUAAAUGAGAUGUUUCUCUUCUUUUUCUUUUUUUGUUUGUGGGGUGGGGGGAAAGAAAUAAAGGCUGGGACUUUGGACUUGGGAGGGAACUGUUUCAAAACGGCAUUCACUCAGCAAAGCCAACAGCUAUAGCCAUCGUUUUCAAAGCAGCAUCAAUUCUUCAAAUUCAAAUCAUCAGCCAAACCAUUAAAGGUAGCAUAAAAGAAUGGUUUUACCGUUGCUUUUUUCUCUUCCAGCCGUUAUCUUCAGAAUUUUUAAACCACCAGUAUGUUGGCUUCUGUUUCUCCCAAGUCAUGCUUGGUCUCCUUGGAUGACUUGCUACUUUGUCAAGAAAGUUGCUGCAUGUUCAGUGUGAUCAGUGAAUAAUUUCAAAGUUCAGCUAAGAAAAAGACAGAGCAGAUUCUUUUUUUUUUUUUGCUUUUUCUUUUUCUGGAAAGCAAUAUAUGAAAUGCUUUUGUUUUGGAACUCAAGAAUUCUAACAUUUUGAAGUCAGUUCCCGGUAGAUUUAGUUUCAUAAAAAAUGCAUCCUCUCUUCAAGUACUUUUGCCUGAAAUUGAGUUUACAACCUUGACAUCUGCAGCAGCAGUCUAGAUAAAGGGGGAAGACAAGGGAUCAAAUGGAUAGCGUGGGCAAUUCGGAUGAAACUUGUGAUCUGGGAUAUCAACCUUCACAAUCUUCUUUAGAUCAGAAUGAUCAAUCAUCGUCAACCGAAGCCACCAGCUUUUCGUUGCAGAGUGGCUAUUCUUUCUGUAGAACUAACUCAGACGUCUCAGCCUUCUCUGAACCUACAGAUGACAACAGCAGCACCUUUUCGGAGACCCCCUCUCCCUUAUGUUGGCCAGGAAUGAAAUCUCCCAAAACUCCUGUGCUUUCAAAACUAGUAAUGCAGCAACAAAACCCUGCUGCAGAUGAUGAGACAGAGAAUGAAGAUUUAGGUGGGUUCUGCAAGAUUGAUUCUUUUCCGUCCCUUUUCUUUUUGGUUUCCCUAGUUUCCUAACUGCGUUCGAAAUACUUGUAGAGCUUGACAUGAUGAAGGAAAGAUUUUCGAAGCUGCUAUUAGGCCAAGACAUGUCCGGAAGUGGGAAAGGUGUCAGCACUGCUGUGGCAGUAUCAAAUUCCAUAACAAAUCUUUAUGGUACUGCUAUGUUAAACGCUCCUGUAGUUGGGCCAGAUUGACUUCUAUUACUUCAAUUCUGAUGCAUGUUUUAUUUUUCUGAUCUAGUAUCUCAAUUUUGUUUACACCGUGCAGCUUCUAUAUUUGGUCAACAUCUACGAUUAGAACCAUUACAUCCUGAUAAGAAAUUGAUGUGGAAGAGAGAAAUGAAUUGCUUUUUAUCCAUCUGUGACCACAUAGUAGAAUUUGUCCCAGCAUUACAUGAUUUACAAGAUGGGACUGCUGUUGAGGUGACGACUCUGUUCUUUUAGUUUUUAUUUUUUGUUUCAUUUAUUUAUUUUUGGUAUUGGUUACUGGGCAAAGGUUAGGCAGAACAGGGGCUGAUGAUCUUUGUUCCUCCAGGCUAGUAUAGGCAUUGAAGGUUGGCACUACCAUUACCAUUAGGCCAAGACCUUUGGCCUCAAUAAUGUCAUCUAUGGAUUCCCCUCUUUUACGCUAACCAAUAUGGUUCUUUGCAUGUUUAAUUAAUUAACAUGAUGGGUAUAUGAUCAACUUUCAGGUGAUGACUAGUAGACCGAGGUCAGACAUCAGCGUCAACCUUCCUGCACUGAGAAAACUUGAUGCAUUGCUCCUGGUAAAGACUGCUACUGUCUGUCUGCUGUUAUAAUCAACAUUGAUCUUUGAAAAAUGACCCAAAUUUUCUGUUUUGUGUCAAAUCUGAUAGCUGAAUUCAUAUUGCGUGACAGGAAGUAUUGGACAGCUUUGAGGAAACUGAAUUUUGGUAUGCUGAACAGGGAAGCAUGUCAGGAAAGUCACGGUCAGGGUCAUUUAGGAGGAUUCCUGCUCCUCAGCGCAAAGAAGAAAAAUGGUGGCUACCAGUCCCAUGUGUUCCUUCUGGUGGCCUCUCUGAGAAGUCAAGGAAGCACCUGCGCCACAAGCGUGAUUGUGCCAACCAAAUACACAAAGCUGCCAAGGCUCUUAAUAAUAGCAUUCUUGCUGAAAUGGAGAUCCCUGAUUCCUACAUGGCAUCACUUCCUAAGGUAGUCAUAUUAUAAAUCAGAUGAAGCUACUGCAAUUCUUUAACGGUAAUAUGACAAUAAAAGUCAGCUGUCUAACUGUAUUUUCUGUGUAUCAAUGCCCUACUCAGAGUGGAAGAGCAAUUGUUGGAGAUGCAGUGUACCGCUAUAUGUGCAAUGGGGAGAAAUUUACACCUGACUUGCUUCUGAACUGCCUUAAUCUGGGCUCUGAACAUGAAGCACUCGAGUUCGCAGAUAAGAUUGAAGCUUCAAUGUACACAUGGAGGCGUAAAGCAUGCAGCAUGACACACUCGAAAUCAUCAUGGGACCUGGUUAAAGACUUCAUGUCUGAUAUCGAUCGGACGGACAAGAAUCAUAUCCUAGCAGAACGAGCUGAGAGUCUGUUGUUCUGCUUAAAGCAAAGAUAUCCUGAGCUUUCCCAAACAUCAUUGGACGCAAGCAAGAUUCAGCACAACAGAGUAUGUAUCUCCAAAAUCCACAUUUGUCCUUCCCAAAACAUUAUACCAGUUUCUUGUUUUUUAUAAUGAUCUUGUUUACAUUCAGGAUGUAGGGAAAGCUAUCCUGGAGAGUUACUCUAGAGUAUUGGAAGGUUUGGCCUUCAACGUCGUUGCUUGGAUUGAGGAUGUCCUAUUUGUGGACAAAACUACACGAAACCAAGAUCAGUAGGAUCAUAUUGACGGGGUGUUAUCAAAAGCCGAACUCAGUUUCUGUCAAGCUGCACAUUUGCAAACAGCAAGAAAGGAUCUUUUUGACUGACAGCUACAAUAGGAGAAAAUCAGUUCAUUACAUCAAUAACUAGCUAGUAAUGCUAAGAUGUCAAUCACUCUUAAAUGCAGUCUCGAUUCUGAUUUAUGACCCAAGAUUUAUUACCAAUCCCAGCAGUCUAUGAUUUGUGCUCUUCAGAAUUUACUUUCAUUUUGUGAUUAUACUGCUACGACUUUAGGGAAUGGAACUCGCUAGCUAAUUAGAUAUCCUCUAAAAUGAGGAUGGCAGAAAGAAGCAAAAACCAUUUGGAUAAGACAAUGAAAAUGUUCAUUGCCAUUUUUAAGAUACUUGGACCAAUUGGAACAAUGCUUAUUUCUGUGAAGGCCAUAAGGCAGUUCCUCUCUUUGAUUCGACAUUCGAGGAGAAAAAUUUACAGCAAAAGCAUUCAAGUUGCUCUUAAGUAUCACCCUCCAACCAAGCAGAUUGAGCAGUUGAGCUGCUUCUUCCCUUGUCCUCUUUACCCAGAAGAAAAGAUGAUUUUGUUCCAUAAUCCACAGUAAAACAGUGGAUCAACUAUGUUACUGACAGCAAUCUACAGCCCUCACAACUGGCCCUAUAAGAAAAAUAAAGGGUGGAGAGUAUUUGCCUCUCAAUUAAGUAUCAUUUGAAGUCCUGUCUUAGCCUAAACCUGUAUUACCAGAACAAAAACAUACCUCAAGUCUCCGGAGUACAGUGCUGGACUGCCGGGAGGACGAAACAAUUCUCUCUUAAUUUCCUUAAGUGAAAAUCAGUACAUACUAAAGGCCAACGGCAAUGUCUAUGUAUAUUACCAAAUCCAGCACAAACUGACCAGUCCUAGACAAAAGAUACUGAGACAUUUCUCCUCUGAUACGUGCAUCAGACAAUUAGGCACUUUAGAAAAUAAUAACUGGCCAACAAGGCACAGGACAAGCGUGUGUAAGAAAUACAUGAUGCGUUCGUUUGAGGUGCCCAAAAGGGGCUUUGGAUGGUAGCAAAGGAUGGAUAUUUGCUCUUGGUGGUGACAACCCGUCACUGCAUUUUGCUCCACUGCUGCAUACAUUAUUUUUGCAGGCAUUGUUCACAUAGAAGCUUAUACUAAGAUUAGAUUAUAAGCAUCUUGACAGACUUUUGCGUCUUUCUUUGGAAUUCGAACAAAACAAGUAGUCACACUCUUCAUAAAUAUAAUGACCGAGACCAUACACAUCUAUGCAUUUCAUUAAAAAUAUGAAAGUCUCUGGUGUUAUUUUUGAAGAAUUUUAUGCCUUUUUGUGCUUGGUGAAGUUUGGACAAGCCAUGACAAGCACAAUAGCGGAAGUCUGGCAGAGUUCAAAGUACCACAGUUUAUACCAUAGGCCAUUGCUGUACAAGUCCGAUAAUGCUCUAGGCAGUUAAUUGGAAGUUAUUAAUGACAAAUGUGGACAAAUAAUAACUGAGUAUCACUCAGAUAUGAAAGCUUCAAGCACGAGCGUAAGAUACCAGUUAGGUUCUUAACGUAAAUUGGAGAUCUCAAACUCAAGAUCUAUUACCUAUAUUCCCUCCCCCGUACCACCCAACCCAUCCCUUCCUCUAUUGAGCUUCUCAGUUGUUUACUACCUCUUUAACUCAAAUCAGAUGCAUUUGUUUUUGUCCCUUUGGGGUCAUCCAAUAAAAUUGGAACGAUAUAGAGAAGAUUAGCGUGGCCCCUGCACAAGGAUGACUCGCACAGAAGCAUUUGUUUGCUCUAAUAUUAAGUUUUUCAACAGCUGGGGUGUUGCGACGCCUUGGGGAAUACAUAAGCCCUUUUAUAAUCUGUACGUUGUUGCAUGGAUUUCUCAAAUCUAAGGCUUAUCUAUGUAACUAAUUACAUUGUAAGAGCUGAGACAACUUUACAACUGAAGCGUGAAAUUGCCAAAUCAUAGCAAAUCCAUGCUACUUAAGGGUACAUAUCCGCAUACAGCAGAUCUUGCAACAAGACAGAGUAGCACAACCAAAUGCAUAAAGAGAAGACCAAAAGUAAAGCAACCAUAAUGUUGAGGCCUGUUUAAGGGUAUCGAAGAAUCAAAGGAGAAAAGACAAAAGUAAAGAAAACAAGAGAUCCCAAAACAACUAGACUUUGAUCCGCCAUGUACGAAUGGAAAUUUUCAAAAAUAUGUUUGUAUUAGCCUGUUUGGACAGAAGAACAUACUGAAAAUUUCGAAUCCCCCCUUUUCUCCUCUUUGUAAGAUCAGAGUCUCUCUUGAACCAAAAAAAAAUUAUAAUCCAAGAGAAAAAGUUAAGAGCUGGAGAGCUGGUCAAAGAUGUACCGCUCAAUUAUUCAUUUAGGAUGGAGAAGCCUAAAACCACGACUUUAAAAAGUAAUACAGAUGAUGGCGAAUCAAGUCGUUCCACCAAUCAGAGUCCCUUCUGCUCCAAAGUAAACAGGACAUAAACGCAAGUAAACAGCAAUAGAGAGGAACCAGCACAUUUGACCUGGCUUGAGCAGCCGGUCGGAGAAUAGACCUUAAGAAAAACUAGCCAAAAUUGUUAAGACAAUUGUGUAUCAAUACGUCUAGUUUGUGAUGCCAGGCUGUUACAAAUCCUAAACUAAAGAAGUCUUUGUUACAAAUAUGCGCUAAUACCUGUUCGCAUGUAAAAACUAGGAAAUCGGAAAGUAAACCCGAAACUUUUGUUACUUGGCCAGGCUUCAUGCAAAAUCUGCAAAAUCAGAAACAAGUAGCAUUUUUACGAAAAAUGACAGGCAAAGCAUGAGAGAGAGAAUAGAUAAGCUACAACAUUCUUAAGAUACUUUACUCAAUUUGCAAGAUGUAACAACAAGCGCUGAGCAUGAAAGAGCAGAAAAUCAUUUCUGAGACAUUCUACUCAUCCCAAAAGGGGGAAAUAGUUAUCCCUAUAUGUACAACAACUUCUGAACUGCGCCAAGAAUUGUGCUGUCCAGAAGGGGGUGAUCAAAGGGUUAGUUGUCAAUCAGGGCUGCGAGGUAAAAUGGACAGGCCGCCAAAGAAUGUCGUCCAUGACUCCACGUGACCCAGUCAGAACCCCGUGCACCCAAAAAGAAUGUGCCUUUAAGCAGAUGCCUUUGCUGCCAAAGGCAAUUAGAGCGACCCCGAUGGCCACUUUCCCGUCACGGAUGAGCGAGGACGCUUUCCUGCUGGGUGCUCCCUUUGUAUGUAAAUUCAAAAUUGAAGUACUACUCAUAUCAGCUGUCCUCAUCUAUUGCACCAAUGUAGGCGAGGUCAGUCCUCCUCACCCUAAUGGCCCCCUUGAGCCAGUUUGAUGCUCUCAAAUUAGCAUGGUCACUACCACCAAUAGCAGCAGAGUUGCUCGAAGAUUGCACACCCGUUCCAUCCUCCAAUAGGGUCCAAGGGUCAAUUUCCAAGUCCAGAUCUUGCAGUGGCAGUUGCUUAGCCUUCCCUGCCAUAUUAGCGACAGUUCGAACCAAAGAAACUGGAUUUCUCUGGGAUAGGAUUGAAUUGUGAGGCUGUAAAACUGAUAUCUGAUUGCUGGACUGGAGAGCAGCAAUCGAAGCCGGUGAUAUAGAUGGAGGUUGACAAGAGAUUGAGCACCGAACAGAUGGAAGAAGAAUUGGCAUUGCAGUUUGAAUUCGCCACCGGAUAUGGUCCGGCAUAUGCAUGCGGUUCAGAUCAUUCUGCAUUGAUUAAAAUUGUCAGAAAGCAAAAAUACAAGUAUCCUUGAUAAUUCUCCACUUACUAUCACAUUUUUCAAAGUCCAUACCCUAGAGUCAAUUUAGCCUUCAAAAAUAAAAGAAAUUGACGUGUCAACCAUGGAGCAGAAGUCCACGAGAAUAUGAUGUUCAAACCAAAAAAUUUGAAACUUCAAUACAUUAAUCGCAAGGACUGAGAACUUUCCAUUUUUUGGAAGAAAAGCAUAAGCAUUUGUGGUGUAAAUGUAGUCCUCAUAAACAGCGUGCAUCGAUGAUGCAGCUUAUAAAAAUGGAAUAGUACUGAAUGAACUAAAGAACUCCUCAAUAAAAAGCUAAUCACAACUCAUAUAUUAUGCCAAAGCAAUUUGAAAAGGAGGUCCUUUGACAUGCAUUCCCCUCAGAUCAUGUUAUAACAUUUUGAACAUGAAGCAAAACGCAAAUCUGAUAAUGGAUUGCUUAUCUUGUACAAGUACUCCAUCAGAUAAAUCUUCUGGUUUUCUGUGUUUAUCUAAUAUAUGUGUUUUUGGGACUAAUACUUUUGCAAUAAAAGGUAAAUACAAAAGAAAAUCAAAUAAUAAGCUGCGUCCAGUAAAUGAAUUUCAGAUUGUAUGCAGUCAACCAAACCUGCAGAUUCUCCGCCACCUCACGACCAAAAACACUAAAGUCCUUGCCGCACUCGGAGGCGGACUUGGAGUUAGAUUUCAACUUCAGCCAGCUAGGUCGAUAGCUGCUCAGCAGUCCAUGUAGCAGCAAUAACAAACAAUCGAAAAGACUUUCCCCAGAUAAAAGUACAGAUGUAGCAGAAGCCUCUGUAAGCGACUCGACAUCUCUCUUGGAUAAAUUCAAAGUUGAACUUGUGGUAUGGCCUGCAGCUUCAUGGACAACUCUACAUCCUAGAAGGCGUAAUAUAACCGCAGCAAGCAUCUGUCUCAUACUCUUUCCUGGCUCCCUGACAAGUCCAAAAUGAAGCUUAUAUUAACAAUAAGCAAUAUAGCUAGAGAUGAUUAGUUUCAUCACAGACAUGGAUGCAUUCAGCAUAACCAAGAUAUAUGGUAAAUCAACGCACUCAACAUUAAAGAAUGGGGGACAUAGUACAUGCACAAGUUAUUGGCAGAAAAAAUCCUUCCUAGAGUUAGAAAACUUGCACAAUACCUUCUACCAUUGACCAGUAAUUGAAAUUUCCCUUCCAUAAACUGUCCUUUAUCCAUGUGACAUAUUAACUUCAUCAUCAAUCAAAACUAUUUUUAACCUUAAAGUUUCAAAUAAAUAACGCCCUGGCAUUUGCUUCAUAUUAGUAAAAUCUGGGUAGGAGAACAUGCAUGGAAAGAUUCCGUCUUAAACAAAAUUCAGCUGGAGCAUGCAAAAGCAAUUCAGGACUUUUAUAUUGAGAAUGGUCUCCAAGAAGGGGUAAUAUGCCCUCAUGAACAAAUUGUGUAAUCAGUUUACAGAAUUACCCAUCCGUGCACAUAGUAGGAAGUAGUCUUAGGAGAAACUGCAAGCGCAAUGACAUGGAAGCUCGCAACCCCGCUGGGGAAGAUGGUACUCCAUCAGCUGGUCCCGCAGGUCGUCUGGAAUUGGAUAAUCCAGGACUCCCACCUCUCAUACCUUUUCGGCUAUUGCCCUUGCUUGCUGGGCUUUCUGCUCCAGAUGCAACUGAUCCAACAGAUUUAGCUGCUCCAUGAGAAAGUACAUUUAUCUGCUGCUCAAUGUUAUUCAUCUGUUUGAUCAUGUCAUUUGCAAAGGUGUUUCUUGAGGCAUCAGAGCCUUGAUCCACACAAGGCAGAACUAAUUCAAUAAAUGCUCUCUCUGUCACAUGCUGCUGACUCACCAAGAAACCUUCAACAUCCACAACUUGAGUGGAUCCUCUUCCAGGAAAUCUCACAUCUGAACCUUCAUCAACCACCUCACCUUCUUCAAGAGAGGCGACUUCAAACUUCCUCUUGCUUCCCCUUGUUUUCCGCGAAUCAGAGUUUGAAUCACACCACCCCCAUGGCUUCCAGAACUGCAGUUUAGUUGAUAGAUGUUCUUUUUCAGCAUUAAUGAUAAGCCGUUGCCGAAUUGAUUUCCUUCCAUAAAGAACAUCAGUGCCUCCAAGAAGCCAUUUAGUUUGCAUUAGCAUUUGGUCCUCAAGUGACCUUCCAAAAAGGUGCACAACCUCAGAAAAGAGUGAAGCAGCAUCUGGUCUGGCAAGUAACCUCAUUACAACGAGUUCAACAAAGCUGCUCUCUUUCUCAGAAACUGCAACCUUGUCAGCAUUCGGUGAAACUGAUUUAAUAGCCUCCGCCAAAGGGGCUUCAUUUUUCAGUUUAUCAAUGACUGUUUGUUCAUUCAAAAGAAGCCUAAGCUCAACCCACUGCCAGUGAAAUUUUGCAGGUUGUAAUGUAUCCAAAACAUGCACAAGCUUAUCUCUGAAAUUUGCAUCCUUCUCCUGAUAAUAGUUCUUUAGGCCACCUUGCCCUUGCAUCCUAUUAACGUCCUCUGGUUUAAGCAAUGACUGUGGCAUUCUACAGUCAAUAAGGGCAUUUAAGAAAAGCCGUGCCCUGAGAGGAACAAAGGCCAUGGAUUUGUAAAGAACGUCUGCACUAUGUGAUUCCAGUAAGGCUGCAAACUCAGAAUCAAUGGCAUCUGCAGCUAUGAGAUCAUAAAGGCCAUGAGUGUCUCGCAGACACACAUCACGGAACGGAAGGUGCUUUAAUGCAUCACCUAUCGCCAAUGCUAAGGACUGAUACAAUUGUUGGAGGUCAUCACGCAAGCCAACACCAGUAUUAAAAAUUAAUCCUUUCCAUAUGACAAAUGCAAAUAUAGAAUAGGCAGGCGGAAAGACCAAGUUCAGAGGAAGUGUUCUCUGCAUUCUAGAGAGACCUACAACUGACGCUUCACCCAAGAGCUCCACAAUAAAUCCAUCAGAAACAGUUCUGCAAUUACCUACAAGCACUCGAAACCAGUGGGUGGAAACUUCAACCAAAUUAUCCAGCUUCAGAGCCCCAAUGGAACGAGCACUCCCGUUUGAGUUGGAUUUCAAACUCCUGAAAAAGUGAAUUGGAUCAAGCCCUUCCCUUAAUCUGAAGAGAGUAACCAUUCUCUCAAGGCUAGUAACUCCCUGAAGAAGUGCCCCAACAAGAAGUGCAGAAAUUGCUCCAGCAAUUUUUGCCCCUCGUCCAAGUACACUUUUAACAGAACUAUUCAAGGCUUCAUAGGAGUUUGAACUAGAAUCAUGGGAUUCAGGAGAUGGAUGAAAUUGAGUGCGAGGAGCCUUUCCUGGCACAAACACUUGAGCAAGGGCAGUAGAAGCUUCAACUGCAAGAGCAACCUCAAAGACACGACUCUGACGCUCACCAAGUGCAUCCUUCAGCAGGCACAAGCAAGUUGUAUGGAUGCGUAAAAUGCGUCGAGCAAAAUGCAUUGAACUGGAUGUGGACUGGAAAUUUAGGUGAUUGCCAGCAGUUAAGUCAGGAAUUUUAGCAAUAACCAGUCCAACAUUACUGACAAUUGCAGAAAUAGCAGAGGAUACCAAAGUAGGAUCACCUUCCUGAGCAGCACCACCAGUUUGCCUCAUGCACUCCAUUAAUCCCAUUACUAUUUGUUGAGCUAUUUGAUAACCAUCAUCCAAGUUUUCCAAGACAGGGCUUUUUACUGUACCAGGCCCAAAAAGCUUUCUUUCUUUGCCACAAAAGUAUUGAAAAACUUCAACAACUUGCCUUUGUACUAUAUCUCUCAUUGUCAAAGCAACUCUGGACACCCGUACACCACUUAUCUUGUGACGGAAAAAAUCAUCAAGAUCUUCAACUCCUGCAGGAACUCCAAGUGGGAAGCCAAACUCCGCAUCAGGCAAUCUUCCAGAUUCAAGCUCAGAAAUGAGUCUUUUAUCAUAAGAUGAUUUAAGGUUUUUCUCCCAAUCAACAACACUAGCCACGUUUCCGUACUUCUUCACCAAAUUUCUUGCAUAAACCAAAGCUGAAGAACCUGAAACCCUUCCGGUAGAGGCCAUUGUGGCUGCAACUCGAUGCAUUGCAGCUUUCAAGGUUUCAGGAACAAGAUCUGCGGCUACGAUUAUAUUUUCAUACCUAAAACAGAACAGUAUAAAUAGUUCACUUCAUCACCCUCACGCAUUAUAUAUCUUCAUUGAAAGAUGUAUACCAACCAGAAACUCAAGUUUUAUCAUAGUUUUGAGAAAGGAUGGACUUUAUUAUCUAUAAAUCAGAACUAUGAAAUUUGGUAUUGGAAGCAGACAAUGCAACAGGGAGUACAAUGCUUGAGCUUAUAUUCAAUGGCUUCAAAUGUCAAAUGCUUCCACAAAAUAAAAAGAAUAAAAAUCACCAAAGUUUUAAGAAAAAAUACUACUACCCAGGUCUUAAGAAUUAUUUAUCACAUGAAGAUGUCCUGAUAUAUUUUAACACCAAAUGAAGCCACAGUUAAAACUUUUCGCAAGAGCAAACUUAGACAUCACAAUCUCCAACAACUUUCUCAUUCCCUAAAAUCAACUUCAAAGUUUUCAUAUGCUUUCUAAACCACUAAAUCCAAAAAUCAAGAUGAAAAUGGAAAAAUGUAGGGCCCAAUAACACAAACUGUCUCAGGGAAUCUAAUAUAUAUGUUCAAUAUGAAAACAAAAGUUUUUCAAAUUUUGUCACAAAUAGAGAGAUCCUGCCAAAACAUGAUUCAAAAGAGAGGCGUGUUGGAAAAUGCAUGGAUAGUUGUUUGUACAUAAGUAGAAGCUGCAGUAGUCCAGAAGGAGAAGCAGAAAAGCACAAAGCAUAGACAACAACUCGUCAAAGAAAUGCAAUUCAAAAUCAAUAUCAACUAACAAUCUACAGUAACAAAACCUUCAUAACCCAAAUUCUGUUUGAAAAUACUUGAAUGGCUAGUUUGAGAGUUUAUGAUAUAAAAAAGGAGUUUGGGGGGGACCUAAUGUAUCAGAGAAAAGAAAAGAAGAGAAGAGAUCAUAAUGUUGUUUGGGGAUUUAAGAAAGAAAUGGAAUGAUUUUGGAUACACAUGUCAUUAAAAUUUUGUUUAGUAGUCAUCCAAGGACAGAACUGAUCCUUUAAAAGAUUUACAAGGCUUUCCCCAACUUUCCAUCCAAAUCAGCCCAUAAAUGGGUGGAAAAAUUUUUAAACUGUACCAAAAAAAUUCAUCCGUCUCAAUCCAGCUAAAUCCGUUCUUUUCUGUCUUUGAAGAAACUGGCAAGUGAAUGAAAAGUUUCCAUUUCUCUCACUUUCUUUUCUUCUCUCAUCCAAUCCUACCUCACAAAACAAACUGUAAACGAGAGGCCCAUUUGGAUUGGGUGUUCUUUGGGGUGUUACUAUAAACCUUUACUGUUAAUAACGUUACUUAAAAACAUACUGGAAUAGGUGUUGUUAGGGAGUUUUUUAAGGUGUUUUAUGCACCGCCAGAUCCCAUCUCCACAACCCUGCCACCUCCCCCUUCUCCGCUUCCUCCUCCCUCCUCCCUACCUGCAAAACUCGUCCUCCCCCUGGCCCUCCCCUCCCCCUUCCCCCACCCCAACAAAACAAAAACUGCCUCCUGCCCCUCCCCGUUCUCACCUCCCCUCCCCAGCAACCACUACCAGACCAGAUCUGGUCAUUAAAGAAGCAGGCCUGAAGGAAGGGGAUACCCCCCCCCGGGGUGGGGUGGGGGUGGAAGAAAGGGGAAGGGUAGCAGUGGGUGGCAGGGGUUGGUGGCAGACAGAUAAUGGGUGAUGAGUGUGUGCAAGUGUCACUCUUUGGGUUAUUUUUUGUGCAUUUUUUAGUUUUUUUUUUAAGUGUCUUUUGGGGGUAUUACUGUUGGUUCUUUUUUUUCUUUUAAUCUUGUUUGGGGGUAUUCUGAAAUAUGCUAAUGUAAAAGGUUAGUUAAUCACAUUAUCCAAAUCCCUUCAGAAAUGGUAACUCAUAAGUAGUUUAUCUAUCUAGGACCAGAAAGAAAAUUUUGUGAAAAAGUCAAAUUAUUAGAUGGUGCAAAGUGGUCAAUGUCACAACGUUGUCCAAGACCUUCACUACUAUAGGUCAAUAAAGAAGAAUCAAGCUAACAAUAAAGCCUACUAGGAAACAGCCCUAACAACUUGAGAGACCUUGAUAAAUUUUAAUAGAAACAAAGACCGAUGUCUAAUUUUAACUUUAUUUGGGAAAAUGAAAAGUUCAAGUGGUGCCUCUGUAGUUGGAUUUUCAACCUUUGAACCAUCCUUGAGUAAUAGAUUGAAGAUAAUUUUAUCAGAAGUGAGUAUACCCAAGGAUACUGGAUAGUUAAGAACCAGGGGCUUCACAAAUUAGGUAGGAACCUGUUAGGUUAUUUACACAAUCACAAAAACCACACAGGGUCACUUGACUAGUAUAAACACUGCAAACCAUUUUCUAGAAGGUAAGGAUAGGGAAAUCUAAUGAUAUUCAAACAUAAAACACUAAUGCAGGAGGCAAUAUAGCAAGCAAUGCACACAAAAAAUCACAACAGUCAGCAAAAUAAUUCAAAGCCAAGCUGACAAAAUGACUUGAGAAAACCAAGAGCACACCUCCUAAUAGAUGAUACAAGAAAUGCCUCCCCGACUUCACAAACAACAUUCUCCGUAUUUCUUGGAAGCAUUAAGAUGUUCCGACCAGCGUGGAUGGAAGCAGCAGGGCUGCUAAGAGCUUUUGGCAGCAACCAGAGAAGAAACCUGGCAGCAGAUACUAAUUCAUUAGAAACAUCCAUCAGAUACAAAAUCAUAGAUAAUUCAUCUUCACCAAGCUUCCAUCGCACAGAGUUUGCAUCAUCAACAGCAGAAUAUGGUCUGCCAUAUUGACCAACUUUUGCUGCAGUCUUUUCAGCUUCUUCAACAAGAUGCUUUACAACACUUAUCAACCAUAACAUCACAGUUCUCUUCUCCACAAGUCGCAUCUUUUUCAGAACUUUUCCAAUUGAAACAAUGUCACUACCAUAUGCCAUUCUGAUCCCAUCCCCAGAUUUUGGAGCAUCACCUUCAACACCAGUUCUAUGGUGUGGGCAGUUCACCCUAUUAUCACAAACAUGACUUGUGGAAGCCCCUUGGCUACCUUCAAUUCUAGCAGCUGCUAACUGUGCAAGGCUUUGUGUUUUACGAACACCCUUUUGCCUCCCCCUUCCAGAUUGCUUGGCUUGCUUAGGAGGUGGAUCCAUUUUGUCGAGAGACUUCGGGCCCCUCCUCAGCCACCAUAUAUCUUCAUCAUCCAAUGCAUUGGAUAAAAAUCCCUGUGGGUAUGAGCUCCUAUCUUCACUCAACUUUUGUCUCUUCACCCUUCUACACUCUUCACAUCCAGGUGUUCCUUCACCAAUAUCGAUCUUGGUAAUAGAAGAUCCCGUAGAUCUCUUAAAACCCCCAACAAAAUUUUCUAGUCCACUGUCACUUGACAGUGAUGAACUAGGAAGCUGCAGCAACAUUACUAUUGAAGCCUUUAGAUCUUCAAGCUCAACAACUUGAUCAACAUUUUUGGUAGUUAAACUGGAUAUCCCCUGAAGAGAUCUCCACUGAUCAACAGAAGAAGGAGAUGCACUGCCACCUCCUGAGUUAUAAUAAUGCUUUUGUUUCUGCCAAGAGCUGCCAGAACUCUUAUGGCAAUCAAGCAGGCCACGAAGUACCAAGCGACGCUCAUUUGCAUAUGUAUUAAUCACCUCCAAAAGCAUUGCUCCUUCAAGAACCUGUGCUUCUUCGAGAGCAUCAUGUACAUAGGAACUAGGAAGCUGCUUCAAAAUUCUAUGAUGUCUCUUCCGUCUCUCCAGGUCAACUGAAAUCCCAUUCCCAUCCAUGAUUCCACUAACAAUUAAUUGCCUCACAUAUGCCUGGGGAUAGAAGAUACCAGCCCUCACAAGUUCCAUUAUGAGUAGUUGAAGCCGCUUGACGCCUUCUCCACUGUGUACUUCAUGUUGAUCAAUCCAGCAGACAAUAAUGUCAUGUAAAGGGCUCGGGCUUUCAAAAAUAUUUGACAAAUUUCUAGUUUUCCCACUCUUUAAACUGUAUUUAUUUUGUUCACAAGCAUUGCCAACAGGAAACCUGCCUGGAUAAUUAUUCUGCAAAUCAGGAUCUUUGGCUAGAGUAUCAGGAGCAAGGCUACUCUCGUUCUUGCCCUGAGACAAGCUUUGCAUCUCUCUCCUCUUGAGCUGCAAAAUCCGUAUAGCAAUAUAUAUCUGAGAGAGGUCUUUUUUCCCAGUGAACUUCUGGCCUGAUGGUGGGCCAGUGCGAAAAUCCCUAAAAUCACAAGUUGCCCACUCACAAAUGAAAAAGAUAGAGGAAAUAAAUGACAAGGUCACUGCUCCAAUAUACUUGAGCGAUGACCGUAGACACAAACUCACUUCAGCAAUCCAACGUUCAUCAACAGCUCCAUCACAAAGAUUUUCAAAAAGAAGUUUAUAUGCCACUGACACAUCUCCGUGAAUAAGAGAUUUAUCUAAUGCCAGUAAAGCUUUAGCUACAUUUUGACUUGGAUGUCCCGGUCUGGCAGCCUUUGCAAGGUUUUCUGCACGUUUCUGAAUAGAUGAAACAAUACAGUUUAUGGUCAAAGAGUCAGGGUGAACCUCAACACCCUUGUCUCUCUGCAAGCAGGCUACUUCAAGGGGACCAGUUUUCAUGUUGCUUUCAUCUUCAGCUAUCUUCAACAAAAAACUCCCAUCAUUGACCACAUUAGUUACCAAACACAAUGGUAAGGGAAAGCAAUCCAAAGCAACAAAAGUAUCAGGAACAGCAAUUAUCAAAUAAUGAAGCAUCUCAACAAGAGCAGACAUGGUAUAAGCCCUUCGGGAAUUAUCUACAAGAUCAGACCCACCAGGAGAAGGUUCUUGAAUAAAACGCAUAGCUAUGCCAACCAGAGUUCGCACGUAGGUCUGACAUAAUACGACGGCUUCGAUUACACCAUAUAUUACAGGCAGUAACAACUGCAAAAUCCCAAGACGCUCUUUUUCCUGGGAAGGCAAAAAAAUGAAAUUACCAACAAAAGUAUUACCAGUUGAUGAAUUUAAUCAAAGUACAAAAUAUUCAAAAUCAUAUGUAGAAUACCUGCAGUUGAUUAAAAACCCAAUCAAUAAUGAGAGAUGGAACAAUCAGUCCUUCUGCAUGGUGCCAUUGUAAGAGCCUAACCACAUACCACCACUUAAAAUGCAAAGAAGGCUCAUCAGCAUCAGUAGAAGUAGAAGCAGCAUCAUUUCGAUGUUGUAGGGUCCCAGGAUAAACCAUUUGUGGUGAUCGAUCCCUAAUAUGCAGAGUGGAAUGAAAAUUAUUUUUCGAAACAAACUCAUCCAAGAGCGCCUGGAGGUAAUCUAUGAUAUCUUUUGUCCACUGCUCUGAUCGGGAAAACUGCGUUUUGUCAGGCACACCACCAGACAAAUUGGAAGAGCCAGGC
rnacentral:lncRNA from 1 species